rnacentral:lncRNA from 1 species
GUGGAAGAUAGGUCCGCUGCUGUAUGCCCUGAGGUAAUCAGUGCCCUCAGGUAAUCGUGGUAAUAGUGCCCAUAUGCGUAGUAAUAACAUGAUCUAAAAAUAGAAUUAACUAAAAAUACAUUAUUCUACUUUCUAUUUAGACUGACAAGACUGGUUUAAUAAAGGUUACCUCAGGUAAUCUGUUGUGUUAUGGAAUCUGGUUCAAUAAAGUCC